GCCAGACUCCUACGGGAGGCAGCAGUGGGGGAUAUUGCACAAUGGGGGAAACCCUGAUGCAGCGACGCCGCGUGGGUGAAGAAGCGCCUCGGCGCGUAAAGCCCUUUCAGCAGGGAAGAAAAUGACGGUACCUGACUAAGAAGCCCCGGCUAACUACGUGCCAGCAGCCGCGGUAAUACGUAGGGGGCAAGCGUUAUCCGGAUUUACUGGGUGUAAAGGGAGCGUAGACGGCGAUGCAAGCCAGAUGUGAAAGCCCGGGGCUCAACCCCGGGACUGCAUUUGGAACUGUGUGGCUGGAGUGUCGGAGAGGCAGGCGGAAUUCCUAGUGUAGCGGUGAAAUGCGUAGAUAUUAGGAGGAACACCAGUGGCGAAGGCGACUUUCUGGACUGUACCUGACGCUGAGGCGCGAAGGCGUGGGUAGCGAACGGGAUUAGAUACCCUAGUA
rnacentral:rRNA from 1 species